rnacentral:sRNA from 1 species
GGGUGGAGGGUGGGGUGGGAUGACAGCGGCGACGCAGCCCCGGCUGUUUGUGAAGCGGGGCCCGGGCCUCACCGGGCUGCGGCGUCCGACUCGAGUGAGACUCUCCCCUGCGGCCCCGCCGGAGUUUAAGCAUCAGAAGACUGGGGAGAUUGGAGUGAUAAGACGGACAGUCGUGUGACCUAAUCAUCUGAGCAUCACAGUUGUUUUUCUUAGAAUUGCUUUCUGGUGGAGAUGAAGAAGAGAAUGAUGAGCCACCCAAAGUAGUAGUUACCGAAGUAAAAGAAGAAGAUGCUUUUUACUCCAAAAAGUGUAAACUGUUUUACAAGAAAGACAAUGAGUUUAAAGAGAAAGGCAUAGGUACUCUGCAUUUAAAACCUACAGCAAAUCAGAAGACACAGCUUUUGGUGCGGGCAGACACCAAUUUAGGCAACAUAUUGCUGAACGUUCUGAUUCCACCCAAUAUGCCAUGUACGCGAAC